rnacentral:lncRNA from 1 species
UAUAUAAUCCAGCAGACGCCCUUGAAAUGAAACAAAUUUUGGAUGCAAGGAUUACCUCGGGGAUAGACAAGAUCUCUUAGUACUUGGUGAUUGAUAUUGGUUGUGAAAAGUUUGUCGAAAAAAAUCAAACCUCAUAUUACUAAACGAGUAUUUGCUGUAUUUUCAUUCUAUUAAAAGAUUAAAAAUUUAUCACAGUACAUGCAGUGAUCCAAGUUAGUAACCUCUCAUCCAACGUAUAAGUACAGAGUCUGGUCCAAAGCUCUAUAAAACAAAAUUGGGAAACACUCCUGCUAGGUUUAGUAGAUUUAUUCUCCUAUUAAUAUAUUUUCCCCACGGAAGAUGUCGUUUUUUAUCAUGACGUUACUUAAUUAUUUUCUGUUAUGACGUAUCCAACUUUUUCUUCCCUAUAGGUCCCCACCACCUAGCCGUAGCUUCCCAGGAAGAAGUUUUGAGUUUUUUCGAAAAAUAUGGUCAUUGUAAGCCAGUUUUGACUUGAAUAUCAUGAAAAAUGCUUCAAAUUGCGAUAUUUCUUUGCAAUUCACCUUGAUCAAUCAUGGUUUAUUUAUGGAAUGGCGAAAAUGGAAAAAGAAUUGAGAAUAAUCCCUCGUUCUACCACAAAAUUGAUAAACAAGUUUGAAUUUUUACACUCUCAUUUUCGUCACUCAACAAGUAUCUAGCAACCUUUCCUUCAAGAGCAAACAAGAAAAUAGGCCAAAAUCAGUUUGCAAUAGUUAGCCAAUUCUUUCCAACUAUGAACAUUUUAGUCAAUAGCUAUCGGUAUUUACAAACAGCUUAACAGGACCCAAUUCGAACCCAAUAAAGCAACGUUUGGAACACUCAUAAAAGAAAAAUUAGUUGAAAAGUCAUCAGCAGACUACAAAUACAUUUUAUUUUUGAUGAUGGAACUUGUUUAAAAUUGAUCAAGUUAUUACGGGAAACAAAAACGGCACUCAUCGCAGUGUUCAUAUUUACUGUUCAUUUGAUGACACACUCUCUAGAAAGUUACGGCAAGAACAAAGUUAAUUUUUCAAUCGUAGAUCAAUAUAAUAAAAUUACUAGC